rnacentral:lncRNA from 1 species
UCUUGGGAUAUUUUCACAUGCCCGAAGCCGAUUCUCGGACUCGACAGUUUGCUGCCAUGGCCUUCCUAGCUUUGAGGAGUCUGCCUACAUUCAGAAGACAAUGCGACAUCCUGAGGAAGCCUUGGAGAGAGAUUGCUGCUAGCUGAAGGAGGCAAAUGGAAGCCCUGGCCAUAAGGCUGUUAUUGCGGGCUUUAAAAGAGAAGGCACCUGAUGGAGGAUGGCAGUAGUGUUCCAGAAACAUGAGCAUCGCAAACACUUGUCUCCAGCCUUUCAUAUCUGGACAACCAACAAAAACACAUGCCCUAAAGAAAAGGGUUUUUUAUCAUCUAGGCCAAACGUGGCAUCUCACUGCUACUCCUUUGAUCAAGAGGCAAAAAUAAGGGGCACAGGAUAGCCAAGAGUUCAAGCCUGGAAUAUUACAUUGGGACCUGUUGGCCAAAGAAAAGGAAGCAGCUGUAUUACAGACAAAAUGUAGACUGUAUAUUCUGAUACUAUUAAAGUGGAAAAUUGGGUGUCAGGAAGGGCAGGAGGCAACUGUGC